GGCUGGUUGGCUCAGUUGAUUAGAGCAUGGUGUUGAAAACACCAAGGUCAAGGGUUCAGAACCCCUUACCAGCCA